rnacentral:rRNA from 1 species
GACGAACGCUGGCGGCGUGCCUAAUACAUGCAAGUAGAACGCUGAAGAGAGGAGCUUGCUCUUCUUGGAUGAGUUGCGAACGGGUGAGUAACGCGUAGGUAACCUGCCUUGUAGCGGGGGAUAACUAUUGGAAACGAUAGCUAAUACCGCAUAACAAUGGAUGACACAUGUCAUUUAUUUGAAAGGGGCAAUUGCUCCACUACAAGAUGGACCUGCGUUGUAUUAGCUAGUAGGUGAGGUAACGGCUCACCUAGGCGACGAUACAUAGCCGACCUGAGAGGGUGAUCGGCCACACUGGGACUGAGACACGGCCCAGACUCCUACGGGAGGCAGCAGUAGGGAAUCUUCGGCAAUGGGGGCAACCCUGACCGAGCAACGCCGCGUGAGUGAAGAAGGUUUUCGGAUCGUAAAGCUCUGUUGUAAGUCAAGAACGAGUGUGAGAGUGGAAAGUUCACACUGUGACGGUAGCUUACCAGAAAGGGACGGCUAACUACGUGCCAGCAGCCGCGGUAAUACGUAGGUCCCGAGCGUUGUCCGGAUUUAUUGGGCGUAAAGCGAGCGCAGGCGGUUUGAUAAGUCUGAAGUUAAAGGCUGUGGCUCAACCAUAGUUCGCUUUGGAAACUGUCAAACUUGAGUGCAGAAGGGGAGAGUGGAAUUCCAUGUGUAGCGGUGAAAUGCGUAGAUAUAUGGAGGAACACCGGUGGCGAAAGCGGCUCUCUGGUCUGUAACUGACGCUGAGGCUCGAAAGCGUGGGGAGCGAACAGGAUUAGAUACCCUGGUAGUCCACGCCGUAAACGAUGAGUGCUAGGUGUUGGAUCCUUUCCGGGAUUCAGUGCCGCAGCUAACGCAUUAAGCACUCCGCCUGGGGAGUACGACCGCAAGGUUGAAACUCAAAGGAAUUGACGGGGGCCCGCACAAGCGGUGGAGCAUGUGGUUUAAUUCGAAGCAACGCGAAGAACCUUACCAGGUCUUGACAUCCCGAUGCUAUUUCUAGAGAUAGAAAGUUACUUCGGUACAUCGGUGACAGGUGGUGCAUGGUUGUCGUCAGCUCGUGUCGUGAGAUGUUGGGUUAAGUCCCGCAACGAGCGCAACCCCUAUUGUUAGUUGCCAUCAUUCAGUUGGGCACUCUAACGAGACUGCCGGUAAUAAACCGGAGGAAGGUGGGGAUGACGUCAAAUCAUCAUGCCCCUUAUGACCUGGGCUACACACGUGCUACAAUGGUUGGUACAACGAGUUGCGAGUCGGUGACGGCAAGCUAAUCUCUUAAAGCCAAUCUCAGUUCGGAUUGUAGGCUGCAACUCGCCUACAUGAAGUCGGAAUCGCUAGUAAUCGCGGAUCAGCACGCCGCGGUGAAUACGUUCCCGGGCCUUGUACACACCGCCCGUCACACCACGAGAGUUUGUAACACCCGAAGUCGGUGAGGUAACCUUUUGGAGCCAGCCGCCUAAGGUGGGAUAGAUGAUUGGGGUG